GUUGGGAUGUAGUAGUUGGUGAAGUUGUUGGGACUACAUCUAGUACAACUUCAGCAACUACUACAUCCCCAAC
rnacentral:pre_miRNA from 1 species